GUGCUUGCUUUGGCAGCACGUGUACUAAAACUGGAAAGAUACAGAGAAGAUUAACGUGGCCCCUGCAUUAGGAUGACACGCAAAUUCAUGAAGCAUUCCAUUAUUAA
ensembl:snRNA U6 U6 spliceosomal RNA